GUUAUGACUCCAUGGACAACGUUUGUCCUCUCCUGUACGUCCCGGCUGUGUCCUCACACACCUGAGAGCUGCUGAACCAGGUCAUCUAAAGGGUCUCGUUAUCACAAUAUCAGACCACUUCCUAUGCUGGAACAUUGUGAUCCUUAUGACAUCCCUGCAGCAGGACGUGGAGACCUCAGGCACAAGGAGCAGAGUACUUGCAGUGGGUCAUCCCACAGCAGCAACUAAACAUCUUGUAGUGCUGAGAGGAAUCUGGCCCUGCAGACAUUUACCUGUGACUCUCCUAGUUGUCUUUAUUUUUCUUGAUGCAAGCUGAUGUACAGACAGAGUCCUACCAUCUGUGCUACAACGGUUGGAGGCCCAAGAUUGACUAUGUUUUGGUACCAAGUCCUUCCAUCAUCAGCGUCCACAUAUUAAAGGUAAUGUCUUUUAGUGCAUGCUCAUAAGAAAGUUUGGUUCUGUUUGCUAUGACUGAUGAUAGCUGUGCGCCUUUGUUUUUGGGUACUGCAGCCCUCGAAAAGACAGUUUUUUAAUGUCUGCCACACAUCCAUGUCUCAGCUUUGCUGGCGUGAAACCAGAAAAGAUGGCACAUUUCGUUUCCUGUUAUCUCCAAUCAGUGCAGGGAGCUCACACCGCUGCUCACUUCAGCUUUGCUGAGAUGUGGAUGUUUUGGAUUUUUGGGGAGUCCACGCUUAUGGUGCGUGAUCAGUGCAGCUUAAGGGUGUAAAGGUGCAAAGUGA
rnacentral:lncRNA from 1 species